GAAGUGAUUUUGUGAGAGUUUAAUAGUUGGUUCUUGGAUAUCAAAGAGAGGCUUCUCUACUGAUUUUACAGCAAAAAAUUAGAGAAGAAAGAUUCUUUCCAACGAGAAAAAGAGAAGGAAAAAAGGAUCUUCUUUCUUGUGCGCAGCCUUAGAAAAGAAGUUCUUCUUUUAAACUUUUUUUCUAUUCUUUUUUAGAAUAAAAAUUAGAUUAGAUCUAAUUUUCAAUAUAAAAAUUUAGAGAAAAAAUAUUUAAAAAAUUUGGUUGGAUGUUUGGGGCUUUCUAUAGUUCUAAAUCAAGGAGAAAAAGAUAG
rnacentral:lncRNA from 1 species